CCUACGGGGGGCUGCAGUGGGGAAUAUUGCACAAUGGGCGCAAGCCUGAUGCAGCCAUGCCGCGUGUGUGAAGAAGGCCUUCGGGUUGUAAAGCACUUUCAGCGGGGCGGAAGGCGGUGAGGUUAAUAACCUCAUCGAUUGACGUUACCCGCAGAAGAAGCACCGGCUAACUCCGUGCCAGCAGCCGCGGUAACACGGAGGGUGCAAGCGUUAAUCGGAAUUACUGGGCGUAAAGCGCACGCAGGCGGUCUGUCAAGUCGGAUGUGAAAUCCCCGGGCUCAACCUGGGAACUGCAUUCGAAACUGGCAGGCUAGAGUCUUGUAGAGGGGGGUAGAAUUCCAGGUGUAGCGGUGAAAUGCGUAGAGAUCUGGAGGAAUACCGGUGGCGAAGGCGGCCCCCUGGACAAAGACUGACGCUCAGGUGCGAAAGCGUGGGGAGCAAACAGGAUUAGAUACCCUAGUAGUC
rnacentral:rRNA from 1 species